GAACGCUGGCGGCAUGCCUUACACAUGCAAGUCGAACGGCGAGCACGGGAGCAAUCCUGGUGGCGAGUGGCGAACGGGUGAGUAAUAUAUCGGAACGUGCCCAGUCGUGGGGGAUAACGCAGCGAAAAGUUGUGCUAAUACCGCAUACGAUCUAUGGAUGAAAGCGGGGGAUCGCAAGACCUCGCGCGAUUGGAGCGGCCGAUAUCAGAUUAGGUUGUUGGUGAGGUAAAAGCUCACCAAGCCUGCGAUCUGUAGCUGGUCUGAGAGGACGACCAGCCACACUGGAACUGAGACACGGUCCAGACUCCUACGGGAGGCAGCAGUGGGGAAUUUUGGACAAUGGACGAAAGUCUGAUCCAGCAAUGCCGCGUGCAGGACGAAGGCCUUCGGGUUGUAAACUGCUUUUGUACAGAACGAAAAAAGUCUUUAAUAACACUAGAGGCUCAUGACGGUACUGUAAGAAUAAGCACCGGCUAACUACGUG
rnacentral:rRNA from 1 species